rnacentral:rRNA from 1 species
CACCUACGGGACGCAGCAGUGGGGAAUAUUGGGCAAUGGGCGCAAGCCUGACCCAGCAACGCCGCGUGAAGGAAGAAGGCUUUCGGGUUGUAAACUUCUUUUCUCAGGGACGAAGCAAGUGACGGUACCUGAGGAAUAAGCCACGGCUAACCACGUGCCAGCAGCCGCGGUAAUACGUAGGUGGCAAGCGUUAUCCGGAUUUACUGGGUGUAAAGGGAGCGCAGGCGGCACGGCAAGUCUGGUGUGAAAGCCCGGGGCCCAACCCCGGGACUGCAUUGGAAACUGCCGGGCUGGAGUGCCGGAGG